UGGCCUUGAACUUGUGAUCCUCCUGUCUCAGCCUCCUACAGUGCUGGUAUUACAGGUGUGUGUCACCAAGCCUGGCUCAUAACUCCAUUAUACAGAUGAGGGGCCCAAGACCCAAGUGGAUACCCUGUUUUACAGAUAAGCACUGACUCAUCCAAGGACAGCCAGUGGGCUGUGGACAGAAACAUAACCAGGGCCCUUUCUGUGACUCAGGAGGAGAGGGAGAGGAACCAGACCCUGCCCUGGAACACCUGAAGGAACAUUAUCUCCUGAUUAAAGCCUAAGUCCCACUAGGAAAGGACUGCCCACCAUAUCCAGCUCCAGGAUGGAAGACAAACAAAUGUGGGCACACCUUAGGAAGACAGCACAGCUGGCCAGGAACCUGAGUCCUUGAUGAACGUGUAGACUUACUGCAGAAAUAAAUUUCUAUUCUGGUAA